rnacentral:rRNA from 1 species
GACGAACGCUGGCGGCGUGCUUAACACAUGCAAGUCGAACGGAAAGGCCCUGCUUUUGUGGGGUGCUCGAGUGGCGAACGGGUGAGUAACACGUGAGUAACCUGCCCUUGACUUUGGGAUAACUUCAGGAAACUGGGGCUAAUACCGGAUAGGAGCUCCUGCUGCAUGGUGGGGGUUGGAAAGUUUCGGCGGUUGGGGAUGGACUCGCGGCUUAUCAGCUUGUUGGUGGGGUAGUGGCUUACCAAGGCUUUGACGGGUAGCCGGCCUGAGAGGGGGACCGGCCACAGUGGGACUGAGAUACGGCCCAGACUCCUACGGGAGGCAGCAGUGGGGAAUAUUGCACAAUGGGCGGAAGCAUGAUGCAGCAACGCCGCGUGCGGGAUGACGGCCUUCGGGUUGUAAACCGCUUUCGCCUGUGACGAAGCGUGAGUGACGGUAAUGGGUAAAGAAGCACCGGCUAACUACGUG